UGUUGUGUAGUGUAAUGGCAAUUAGCACGCCUGAACGCCGGUCGUGAACUGUGUACUAGGGAGGUACGGGUUCGAGUCCCGUCGCAACAA